AUUGAACGCUGGCGGCAGGCCUAACACAUGCAAGUCGAACGAGUGGCGGACGGGUGAGUAAUGUCUGGGAAACUGCCUGAUGGAGGGGGAUAACUACUGGAAACGGUAGCUAAUACCGCAUACCAUCGGAUGUGCCCAGAUGGGAUUAGCUAGUAGGUGGGGUAACGGCUCACCUAGGCGACGAUCCCUAGCUGGUCUGAGAGGAUGACCAGCCAAACGGGAACUGAGACACGGUCCAGACUCCUACGGGAGGCAGCAGGGGGGAAUAUUGCACAAUGGGCGCAAGCCUGAUGCAGCCAUGCCGCGUGUAUGAAGAAGGCCUUCGGGUUGUAAAGUACUUUCAGCGAGGAGGCGUUACUCGCAGAAGAAGCACCGGCUAACUCCGUGCCAGCAGCCGCGUAAUUC
rnacentral:rRNA from 1 species